rnacentral:rRNA from 1 species
GAUUGAACGCUGGCGGCAUGCCUUACACAUGCAAGUCGAACGGCAGCACGGGUGCUUGCACCUGGUGGCGAGUGGCGAACGGGUGAGUAAUACAUCGGAACAUGUCCUGUAGUGGGGGAUAGCCCGGCGAAAGCCGGAUUAAUACCGCAUACGAUCUAUGGAUGAAAGCGGGGGACCUUCGGGCCUCGCGCUAUAGGGUUGGCCGAUGGCUGAUUAGCUAGUUGGUGGGGUAAAGGCCUACCAAGGCGACGAUCAGUAGCUGGUCUGAGAGGACGACCAGCCACACUGGGACUGAGACACGGCCCAGACUCCUACGGGAGGCAGCAGUGGGGAAUUUUGGACAAUGGGCGAAAGCCUGAUCCAGCAAUGCCGCGUGUGUGAAGAAGGCCUUCGGGUUGUAAAGCACUUUUGUCCGGAAAGAAAUCCUUGGCUCUAAUACAGUCGGGGGAUGACGGUACCGGAAGAAUAAGCACCGGCUAACUACGUGCCAGCAGCCGCGGUAAUACGUAGGGUGCGAGCGUUAAUCGGAAUUACUGGGCGUAAAGCGUGCGCAGGCGGUUUGCUAAGACCGAUGUGAAAUCCCCGGGCUCAACCUGGGAACUGCAUUGGUGACUGGCAGGCUAGAGUAUGGCAGAGGGGGGUAGAAUUCCACGUGUAGCAGUGAAAUGCGUAGAGAUGUGGAGGAAUACCGAUGGCGAAGGCAGCCCCCUGGGCCAAUACUGACGCUCAUGCACGAAAGCGUGGGGAGCAAACAGGAUUAGAUACCCUGGUAGUCCACGCCCUAAACGAUGUCAACUAGUUGUUGGGGAUUCAUUUCCUUAGUAACGUAGCUAACGCGUGAAGUUGACCGCCUGGGGAGUACGGUCGCAAGAUUAAAACUCAAAGGAAUUGACGGGGACCCGCACAAGCGGUGGAUGAUGUGGAUUAAUUCGAUGCAACGCGAAAAACCUUACCUACCCUUGACAUGGUCGGAAUCCCGCUGAGAGGUGGGAGUGCUCGAAAGAGAACCGGCGCACAGGUGCUGCAUAGCUGUCGUCAGCUCGUGUCGUGAGAUGUUGGGUUAAGUCCCGCAACGAGCGCAACCCUUGUCCUUAGUUGCUACGCAAGAGCACUCUAAGGAGACUGCCGGUGACAAACCGGAGGAAGGUGGGGAUGACGUCAAGUCCUCAUGGCCCUUAUGGGUAGGGCUUCACACGUCAUACAAUGGUCGGAACAGAGGGUUGCCAACCCGCGAGGGGGAGCUAAUCCCAGAAAACCGAUCGUAGUCCGGAUUGCACUCUGCAACUCGAGUGCAUGAAGCUGGAAUCGCUAGUAAUCGCGGAUCAGCAUGCCGCGGUGAAUACGUUCCCGGGUCUUGUACACACCG